rnacentral:lncRNA from 1 species
AAUGUUUUAUUGUGUUCCUCGUAUGAUGAAACGCUUAUAAAGAUCAGAAUUCCUAUAUGGAAACACUCUGUGGUACACCAAGUUACCUCGCUACCAAAAUGUUAAUCCCGUAGCCUGAAGAACGAUCCUACAAGAAAUCGUGUGACUGCUGGAGCCUGGGAGUUAUACUAUAUGUUUGCAGGCAAAUAACCCAUUAGAGAAACAAGUCAAAGAAGGGUCGUAUAAAUUUCCGAACAACCUCUGGAAGAAUGUUAGCAGUGAAGCUAAGGAUCUUAUAACAAAACUGCUUACUGUUGGUCACAGAAAAUGCGUCACGGUUUCAGAAGCUCUGGAACAUCCUUGGAUGAAGGAUAAAGAAAUGAUAGAAAAAGCAGAAAAAAUGAUAAAACCGACCGUGGAUGGAAGAUCAAUGUCUCCACCCUUAUAAAAGGUAUGUUGAAAACUACGAUACUUGUCCCGUUCUUCCGUCCAAUGACCCUUAUUUUCAACUCGCAAUUGCAAUGAAACAUUACAUGUUUGCAAGUUACAUCGAAAUUUAACCAGCUUUCCGAAACAAUCUCAAGGCGC